GUGAGCAGCUCCUCUCACCCUGCCAUGGCCUCUGCCUCAGCUCCAGGUUCCUGCCCUCUAUGAAUUCCUGUCCUGGCUUCCUUCAGUGACGGACAGUGAUGCGGAAGUGUGACUCGAGUGAGCCCUGUCCUCCCCAGGAUGACAGCAAUAGUAACUCUAAUUAGGAUACCCAGAUAAGACACCAAUGACUGACUAGAAAGGAACGGUUCUACCCAAGUCUGUCUUGAGGUCCAAAGUCACCCAAGGUGGAAACCAGCCAGAGAGCUGAUCAAGAGUUGGGAGAGCCAUGCAAAUGAGGCUGACCUGGGAGUCAGGACAGAAGUGAGAAACUGAAGCACCUGCCUGGAGACUGUGUCGAGAGAGAGGAGGCUUGCCAAAGCUGCUUCCAGCAAGGACCAGCCCCCUUGGAAAACCAUCAAGUGCCACCAGAAUGCCAGUUCCCUGUGCCCGCUGGCAGGAUGCUGUCCAGGCGGGAAGCUGGGACCCACAAGCCACUGAGUGUCUCCCAGAGACCCUGAACUCUGCUGUGGGUACUGAGAGAAGCAUCUCUGACAAGGACCAAGGCAACAGUCGCAUCUCUUCACAGACCAUCCCUUCAGAGCUGUGGCCAUCACACUUCAGAGAACGGAGGUCUGAUCUAAGGUGACAGGGGAAGGUCUUCAGGGAUAGAAGACAAGCUUACCAGAACAAAGUCGCCAUUGUCUUUCUUUUUUUAAUGGUUUAUUUUUAUUUUACAUGCACUGGUAUUUGCCUGCAUGUACAUCUGUGGGAGGGUGUUAAAUCCCCUGCAGCUGGAGUUACAGACAGAC